UACAGAGGUCCCAAGCGUUGUUCGGAUUCACUGGGCGUAAAGGGUGCGUAGGUGGCCGGGAAAGUUCGAUGUGAAAGCUCGGAGCUCAACUCCGGAAUGGCAUUGAAUACUAUUCGGCUGGAGGGUCGGAGGGGAGACUGGAAUUCUCGGUGUAGCAGUGAAAUGCGUAGAGAUCGAGAGGAACACCAGUGGCGAAGGCGAGUCUCUGGACGACCCCUGACAAUGAGGCACGAAAGCGUGGGGAGCAAACAGG
rnacentral:rRNA from 1 species